CCCCGGCUGAAAAGCAAGGCGCAGCUACCGGACGGAGGCGUUUCGGGGAGGAAACGUCAGCUCCCUAGAGAGCGAGAAAGCCCGCUGCGAUGUAUCCCCCGCAGCGGGCUUUUUC
rnacentral:sRNA from 1 species